GCCGGAGUAGCCCAACUUGGCAGAGGCAUCGGACUUAGAAUCCGAUUCGUGAGAGUUCAAAUCUCUUCUCCGGUACCA
rnacentral:tRNA from 1 species